CUUCUUGUUUCCCACUUUGGUGCCUUAUUCUCACUUUAGUGUUCCAUCUUUCUUCGUUCUGCUUGCUAUCUCGCUCUUUCAGAUUUUGCUAAUAAUUGAGCUGAGUAAAAUUUUAUUGUUGUAAUACUAUGCUGGAAUGAACGUCGUGGACUCGUGCCCCUCGCCUUCAGCAGAAAAUUGCAAGCUUUGAAGAGAUAUGGGUUCCUUCGUUGCAUAAUUUGGAACAUAGUGACUGAAAAAUGCUUGGCAAUGCACUAUCAAUAUGUCCAGUGUUGAGUAUAUCAAACUACUGCACCAUUAGCUACAGUUAUACAGUUAACAGUUUAGCUAGCACCUAUGUUAAGAUCCCGCGAUGGUCUCGCACUACUAGAAGGGCAUAACUCACGGGCCUCGCAGUGAAAGCACGUUGGAAGGAUCCAAUUUUCAUAUACGCGGGCAGUUAUGGAGAGAGAGAAAUUGGAAGAUUUGAGAAAGUUCUUGAGAGCUUUGAAGAGGAUUAUGGCCAACUGUUAAUGCACCAUUAAGUGAAGUCGUUCCUCGGUAAUAUAUUAAUGUUUUUAUUGAUGAUAUGUACUUCAAGAAUAAUGAGGAACAUAAUAACCAUGUGAUAACAACAUUGCAAUAUCCUUUUACUGAUUCACAGGACUUUCUUGAGGAAACAUAUAAGGCUACCACCUUGCUAGAGGUGAAGGAUCAUCAAUUUGUCA